rnacentral:tRNA from 1 species
GGGGCAUUAGCUCAGUUGGCUAGAGCACCUCGCUGGCAGCGAGGGGGUCAUCGGUUCGAGUCCGAUAUGCUCCA